rnacentral:rRNA from 1 species
UACGUAGGUGGCGAGCGUUGUCCGGAUUUACUGGGCGUAAAGAGUCGCGCAGGCGGCUGGGCAAGUCCGGAUGUGAAAGCCUUCCGGCUUAACUGGAAAAUUGCAUCGGAAACUGCUCGGGACUUGAAGGUGGGAGAGGGUAGCGGAAUUCCCGGUGUAGUGGUGAAAUGCGUAGAUAUCGGGAGGAACACCAGUGGCGAAGGCGGCUACCUGGCCCACUCUUGACGCUGAGGCGCGAAAGCUAGGGGAGCAACGGG